UCUAGGCUUUUGUCCCAUCAUGUGUGCAAUGUUCACAGAAGGAGAGCUUCUCUUUCCAGGUGAUGUCAUUGGCCCAGCCUGAGUCAUGUGACCAUUUCUGAACCAAUCACUGUAACCAAUGGAAUGGGUUAUGCUAAUUGGCCUGGCCAGGUCGCAUGCCAACCCCUGGAACUACUGAUGGCAUCAAGACUUCUUGGAACCACAUGGACUAAACGUGAAGACUGGGUAAGCUGUCAAAGCAAAAUUGGCAUGCCACUAUCAGAAGAAAGGAAAACGGAUACUAAAUUGGUUAAAAUCAACCUAAAUCAAAAAACCCCACCCAGAGGUCUUGAUUCUGGGUUCAGAAAUCUUGGUUCUCAGGCUCCCAGCAUGUCUCAUUAAGAUGAGUUGGCCAACUUGGAUCAGAGAGAGGGGACAAAUGGUCACCUUAGGACUAAACAAAAUUUUCAAAGAAACUGUCUUUGCAGGCGCUGAUCUCGCAGGUUCAAAGCUGAAGUGGAAAUUCAGUCUUUGUUGGAUACUGCAAACCCCAGCCUGCAGGCUUUGUUCCCAGCAGUCUCCUGACUCUCCUGGGUGGUGGCGGAUGGGGCCUGAUAUUGAUGUUAAAGGACACGGAGGUGCUGAACACGGCCAUUCUCACCGGAAAGGCUGUUUCGGUUCCCGUCAAGGUCGUGGGUGUUCAAGAGGACGGUUCUGUGGUCGACGUGUCGGAGUCUGUGGAAUGCAGGUCUGCGGACGAAGACGUCAUCAAGGUGCAGAUACGUGAAUCCUUGCCAAGUGACUUCUCACGGUGAGGGAGACCUCUAAAGGAGAUUGAUGAUCAUUUCCUGAUGUUACUCAUCAGAGAUUCAGCUACAACUGUGACCACAAUAAGCUCGUCUCUGCUUGAUGUCAUGUGGGU
rnacentral:lncRNA from 1 species